rnacentral:rRNA from 1 species
GAAUCGGGGAGAGGACUACAGGAUUCCCCUAGUAACUGCGAGUGAAGCGGGAAAAGCUCAAAUUUAAAAUCUGGCAGUCUUUGGCUGUCCGAGUUGUAAUCUAGAGAAGUAAUGCCCGUGCUGGACCGUGUAUAAGUCUCCUGGGAUGGGGCGUCAUAGAGGGUGAGAAUCCCGUCUUUGACACGGACUACCAGUGCAUUGUGGUAUGCUCUCAAAGAGUCGAGUUGUUUGGGAAUGCAGCUCAAAAUGGGUGGUAAAUUCCAUCUAAAGCUAAAUAUUGGCGAGAGACCGAUAGCGAACAAGUACCGUGAGGGAAAGAUGAAAAGAACUUUGGAAAGAGAGUUAAACAGUACGUGAAAUUGCUGAAAGGGAAACGCUUGAAGUCAGUCGCGUUGGCCAGGGAUCAGCCUUGCUCUUGCAUGGUGUACUUUCUGGUUGACGGGUCAGCAUCAAUUUUGACCGCUGGAAAAGGGCCUGGGGAAUGUGGCAGCUUCGGCUGUGUUAUAGCCCCUGGUCGCAUACAGUGGUUGGGAUUGAGGAACUCAGCACGCCGCAAGGCCGGGUUUCGACCACGUUCGUGCUUAGGAUGCUGGCAUAAUGGCUUUAAGCGACCCGUCUUGAAACACGGACCAAGGAGUCUAACAUGCCUGCGAGUAUUUGGGUGGAAAACCCAAGUGCGUAAUGAAAGUGAAAGUUGAGAUCCCUGUCGUGGGGAGCAUCGACGCCCGGACCAGAACUUUUGGGACGGAUCCGCGGUGGAGCAUGUAUGUUGGGACCCGAAAGAUGGUGAACUAUGCCUGAAUAGGGUGAAGCCAGAGGAAACUCUGGUGGAGGCUCGUAGCGAUUCUGACGUGCAAAUCGAUCGUCAAAUUUGGGUAUAGGGGCGAAAGACUAAUCGAACCAUCAAGUUGUUAC